rnacentral:lncRNA from 1 species
GCAUGUCUCACCAGUACUCCCCCCUGAAGAGAGCAUGGCUGAACACCCGUGUACCGCCAGUAUCCCCCCCCAAGCAAGGUGAUCCGCAUCAAGGCCAAAGCGACAAGAUGGGAUCGAAUCAAUGUGGCCACAGCGACACAAUGACUCCGUUAUCCAUGCACUAUUAGAUGGAUUGAUUCACUAUCAGAAUCUAGUUUCAGGCCAAUAGAACUACGUGUUUAUAGUCCAACUCUGAUCAGAAGCGACUCUUUCUGUGUUAUCAUCAAGGCGACAAGAUGAAGGGAGAUUAUUAAGGCCCAAAGCGACAAAAUAGUUCCCGUCCAUUAGGGCCAAAGCGAC